rnacentral:rRNA from 1 species
AUGGCUCAGGAUGAACGCUAGCGACAGGCCUAACACAUGCAAGUCGAGGGGCAGCACAAGGAGCAAUCUGAGGUGGCGACCGGCGCACGGGUGAGUAACACGUAUGCAACCUGCCUGUAAGCGGGGAAUAACCCGUCGAAAGACGGACUAAUACCGCAUAAUACUAAAUUACUGCAUGGUAAUUUAUUUAAACAUUUAUGGCUUACAGAUGGGCAUGCGCAUGAUUAGCUAGUUGGAGAGGUAACGGCUCCCCAAGGCAACGAUCAUUAGGGUUCUGAGAGGAAGGUCCCCCACACUGGUACUGAGACACGGACCAGACUCCUACGGGAGGCAGCAGUGAGGAAUAUUGGUCAAUGGGCGGGAGCCUGAACCAGCCAAGUCGCGUGAAGGAAGAAGGAUCUAUGGUUCGUAAACUUCUUUUGCAGGGGAAUAAAGUGCAGGACGUGUCCUGUUUUGUAUGUACCCUGAGAAUAAGGAUCGGCUAACUCCGUGCCAGCCGCUGC